UUUGCCUACGGGAGGCAGCAGUGAGGAAUAUUGGUCAAUGGCCGCAGGGCUGAACCAGCCAAGUCGCGUGAGGGAUGACGGUCCUAUGGAUUGUAAACCUCUUUUGUCAGGGAGCAAAGGGCGCCACGUGUGGCGUUUUGCGAGUACCUGAAGAAAAAGCAUCGGCUAACUCCGUGCCAGCAGCCGCGGUAAUACGGAGGGUGCGAGCGUUAAUCGGAAUUACUGGGCGUAAAGGGUGUGCAGGCGGCUGAGUAAGACAGAUGUGAAAUCCCCGGGCUUAACCUGGGAACCGCAUAUGUGACUGC
rnacentral:rRNA from 1 species